rnacentral:rRNA from 1 species
CCUACGGGAGGCAGCAGUGAGGAAUAUUGGUCAAUGGGCGCAAGCCUGAACCAGCCAUGCCGCGUGCAGGAAGAAUGCCCUACGGGUUGUAAACUGCUUUUAUUUGGGAAUAAACCUUUCUACGUGUAGAAAGCUGAAGGUACCAAUUGAAUAAGCACCGGCUAACUCCGUGCCAGCAGCCGCGGUAAUACGGAGGGUGCAAGCGUUAUCCGGAAUCAUUGGGUUUAAAGGGUCCGCAGGCGGACCUAUAAGUCAGUGGUGAAAGCCUACAGCUUAACUGUAGAACUGCCAUUGAAACUGUAGGUCUUGAAUUCGGUCGAAGUGGGCGGAAUGUGUAGUGUAGCGGUGAAAUGCAUAGAUAUUACACAGAACACCGAUAGCGAAGGCAGCUCACUAGGCCUGGAUUGACGCUCAGGGACGAAAGCGUGGGGAUCAAACAGGAUUAGAUACCCUGGUAGUCCACGCCGUAAACUAUGAUUACUCGUUUUCGGCGUAUAUACUAGUCGGUAGACGUAAGACGAAAGUAGAGUAAGUAAAUACCACCGUACGGGAGGUACGAGUCGCGAAGGUUAGUAAACGUUAAAAGGUAAAGUUAGUACGGACGUGAGACGUGACCGAACGGACGACGACGAGGGAGGAGG